rnacentral:rRNA from 1 species
GCGCUCUUUUAGGAGCGGAGCGGCAAAACGGGUGAGGUAAACGCGUGGGAAUCUACCCAUUUCUACGGAAUAACACAGAGAAAUUUGUGCUAAUACCGUAUACGUCCCUUUAGGGAGAAAGAUUUAUCGGAGAUGGAUGAGCCCGCGUUGGAUUAGCUAGUUGGUGAGGUAACGGACUCACCAAGGCGACGAUCCAUAGCUGGUCUGAGAGGAUGAUCAGCCACACUGGGACUGAGACACGGCCCAG